rnacentral:rRNA from 1 species
GACGAACGCUGGCGGCGUGCCUAAUGCAUGCAAGUCGAGCGGGCUACGAUCUUCGGAUUGUAGCUUAGCGGCGAACGGGUGAGUAACACGUAGGUAAUCUACCCUUCAGAGGAGGACAACCUCAGGAAACUGAGGCUAAACCUCCAUACGUUCAUAUGCAGGGAUGCAGAUGAAGAAAGAGUUACCUUAAAGGUAGCUGCUGAAGGAUGAGCCUGCGGCCCAUCAGGUAGUUGGUGAGGUAACGGCUCACCAAGCCGAAGACGGGUAACCGGUCUGAGAGGAUGUCCGGUCACACUGGGACUGAGACAUGGCCCAGACUCCUACGGGAGGCAGCAGCAGGGAAUCUUGGGCAAUGGGCGAAAGCCUGACCCAGCGACGCCGCGUGGAGGAAGAAGUCCUUCGGGGCGUAAACUCCUGGACUGGGGGACGAGGAAGGACGGUACCCCAGUAGAAAGGGACGGCUAACUACGUGCCAGCAGCCGCGGUAAAACGUAGGUCCCGAGCGUUGUUCGGAUUCACUGGGUGUAAAGGGCGCGUAGGUGGUUGUCUGUGUCUCAUGUGAAAACUCAGGGCUCAACUCUGAGAUUGCGUGGGAAACUAGGCAGCUAGAGGACGGUAGAGGGGAGUGGAAUUCCCGGUGUAGCGGUAAAAUGCGUAGAUAUCGGGAGGAACACCGGUGGCGAAGGCGGCUCUCUGGGCCGAUCCUGACGCUGAGGCGCGAAAGCUAGGGGAGCGAACCGGAUUAGAUACCCGGGUAGUCCUAGCCGUAAACGAUGGGUGCUAGGUGUUGGGGGGUAAAGACCCUUCAGUGCCGAAGCCAACGCGAUAAGCAUCCCACCUGGGGAGUACGGCCGCAAGGUUGA